rnacentral:tRNA from 1 species
GACAGGAUGGCCGAGUGGUCUAAGGCGGUAGACUUAGCAUCUAUUCCUUGUUAAAGAGGGCGUGGGUUCAAAUCCUACUCCUGACA